rnacentral:rRNA from 1 species
AACGUAGGAGACAAACGUUAUCCGGAGUUACUGGGCGUAAAGGGCGUGUAGGCGGUUUGUUAAGUCUGGCGUGAAAGCUCUCGGCUAAACCGGGAGAGGUCGUUGGAUACUGGCAAACUAGAGGAUGGUAGAGGCGUGUGGAAUUCCGGGCGUAGUGGUGAAAUGCGUAGAGAUCCGGAGGAACACCAGUGGCGAAGGCGACACGCUGGGCCAUACCUGACGCUAAAGCGCGACAGCAUGGGGAGCAAACGGG